rfam:Capsella rubella cultivar Monte Gargano unplaced genomic scaffold scaffold_7, whole genome shotgun sequence.
AUCUUUGCGCUUGGGGCAAUGACGCAGCUAAUGAGGUCUUAACCGAGGCGCGUCUAUUGCUGGUUGAAAACUAUUUCCAAACCCCCUCCUGGGCCUAAGCUUGUCUUGGGCCUUCGAGAAUUUCUGGAAGAGCUCCCUCCCUUUGGGGUAAAGCU